GCGAGAGAUUGUGCAAAAACCUCCGCGUGAGGCUGGCGCGGGAGUCAAAGGCAAGGAAGGAGGAGGAGGAGGAGGUUAUUGUUGUCUCGCUUGAUCGGAGCCCGGCUUGGAGAUGAGUGAACGUUGCGCUUGGUUCCCACUCUGGCGGGCGCCUGCAAGUUGGGGAGACCGCGUGGAACUGGUCUGACCUUGGAGGCUUGCAAUGAAAGCGUAUGUAGUCGGAGAGAACUGCCUGGAUUUGAUCCGAACCGGCGCAGCCCGAGCAGAACCGACGUCGACUACAGAAAGAACCAAGCCAAGCUCUCCUGGCGCGGUGGUUUGGGGGGGAAAGACCGGAAAGUAGCCUCUGGCUGGACUCUGCAGGUGAGCCAAGCCACCCAGAGCCAAUCUGGUCCAAGAGAGGAACUCUCCCAAGAGAUCCGUAUCAGAAAAAGAGCGAAACGCACCAGGCAUGAGCGUGAGAGCAAAGCACAAUAGGCAGCCCAGGCUGAGAGCGGGCAGGAGGUAAGCGGGAAGGACUCUCGGGAGCAGGACACCCCACCCCAAGCUCAGCCCAAGCAAAGCAGGACGGGAGCAAGACUCAACCAAGAGCGGGCUGCAUGGGCUCCGGCUUGUGGGGCGAGCGCUGAAGGAGUCCGGUUGGAAAAGACGGGAUCCCACCUGCAAGUCCGUCCGGGCACCAACGCCGCCUUGGAGAUGACCCAGUCCAGCGAGACCCAGACACACACGCCCACCACCAGUGUGCCCAUGGACAGUAAUGUGGUGGCCAUCAUCAUAGCGACCACAGUUUCUUCCUCUGUGUUCAUCAUAGCCAUUUUGGUGCUGCUGCUGCUUUUGUACCACCGAGACCCUUUGUGCUGCCAGUUUCUCUGCUCUUGCCGUUUCUUCCAGAGCCCCAGUCAAUACGACUGUCCCCCUCCAUAUUUCAGUAGCAGCCAACGACUGGUGGGCUCUCAGUCUGGAGCACAACACCUGGAGACAAGCACUGCUGAAAACCCUGGCAUGCAGGGUGAUGAGCUGUUCUGUGUUGGACCCCCCAGUAGCUACCAGCUUCCUCCAUGGGAGCAGCCACGGCUACCAAGCUAUGAAAGUGUGCGAAAGAAGGAUCGGCAACGAGAAAUUCACCACAUGAUUGCCGAAAGGUUUGGCUUGUGGGCUGAAGUCUCCCAAGAGUUACCACCUCCCUAUGAGCAGGCCCUGCAGUAUCCUGCAGCCUUAUCAGGAACGGAUAUGGGUUCAGAGUUGUCAGCUGGACACAGCUUGCCGGACAUGCUUCAAGCUUCACCCACAUACACAAUGCAAAGAAACACAUCAGUAUAG
rnacentral:lncRNA from 11 species